rnacentral:rRNA from 1 species
UACGUAGGGUGCGGGCGUUGUCCGGAAUUAUUGGGCGUAAAGGGCUCGUAGGCGGUUUGUCGCGUCGGGAGUGAAAACCCAGGGCUUAACUCUGGGCUGGCUUCCGAUACGGGCAGACUAGAGGUAGGCAGGGGAGAGCGGAACUCCUGGUGUAGCGGUGGAAUGCGCAGAUAUCAGGAAGAACACCGGUGGCGAAGGCGGCUCUCUGGGCCUUACCUGACGCUGAGGAGCGAAAGCGUGGGUAGCGAACAGG